GGUUAUAGUCUUCACAUCUCAUUCAACAACUUAAAAACCAUCUUGGCCACUCAUCUUUCAUCUCUCCAACUUGCCUUUCAUUAUUCAUUUUUAUGUUCAUACACACACUCUUUGCUUGAUUGACUAAUCUAUCUCUAAGUUCAGCUUCCAUGGCGGAGUACUCGAACACGACGUAUAGCUGUAGAAGUUGCCGCAACCCGCUUGCCUCCGGAGCUGAUCUCCUUUCCAAAUCCUUCUUGGCAAAAUCGGGAAAAGCGUUCCUAUUCUCCCAAGCAAAGAACAUAGUGGAGGGCCCAAAAGAGAAGAAGCUGCUGAUAACAGGUCUCUUCAAAACUGCAGACAUACACUGCAGCAUCUGUGGUCAAGUUUUGGGUUGGAAGUAUCUCAAAGCUUAUGAUAUCAAGCAGAAGUUCAAGGAAGGAAAGUUCAUCAUCGAAAGGGCUAAGAUCGUCAAGGAAUACGACUAAUCAUACUUACAAACUCGUUUCGAACGAUUAAUCGACCGUUUACAAGAGUUUUUAAGCCCUUAAGAAGUCGUUUUAAACAUAUCUUUCCGUCAAUGUUGAUGGUCGGAAAAAGUUAAUGUUUUAAACUCUUAGUGUCACGUGUAUUUUGAGUCUUGUAGUCGGGUUGCUUCGCGCAAGACAUUGCUUAGGACCAACGGGUCACACGACAGGUGCACGAUUGACUUUGUACGCUCCAUCCUUUGGCCCUUCGUCUAUCGGCUUGGCAGGCAAGCUACCUUGAUCCAUCUCUGGUUUCGAUU